CUAAAUACUCCUGACUGACCGAUAGUGAACCAGUACCGUGAGGGAAAGGCGAAAAGAACCCCGGCGAGGGGAGUGAAAAAGAACCUGAAACCGUGUACGUACAAGCAGUGGGAGCACGCUUAGGCGUGUGACUGCGUACCUUUUGUAUAAUGGGUCAGCGACUUAUAUUCUGUAGCAAGGUUAACCGAAUAGGGGAGCCGAAGGGAAACCGAGUCUUAACUGGGCGUUAAGUUGCAGGGUAUAGACCCGAAACCCGGUGAUCUAGCCAUGGGCAGGUUGAAGGUUGGGUAACACUAACUGGAGGACCGAACCGACUAAUGUUGAAAAAUUAGCGGAUGACUUGUGGCUGGGGGUGAAAGGCCAAUCAAACCGGGAGAUAGCUGGUUCUCCCCGAAAGCUAUUUAGGUAGCGCCUCGUGAAUUCAUCUCCGGGGGUAGAGCACUGUUUCGGCAAGGGGGUCAUCCCGACUUACCAACCCGAUGCAAACUGCGAAUACCGGAGAAUGUUAUCACGGGAGACACACGGCGGGUGCUAACGUCCGUCGUGAAGAGGGAAACAACCCAGACCGCCAGCUAAGGUCCCAAAGUCAUGGUUAAGUGGGAAACGAUGUGGGAAGGCCCAGACAGCCAGGAUGUUGGCUUAGAAGCAGCCAUCAUUUAAAGAAAGCGUAAUAGCUCACUGGUCGAGUCGGCCUGCGCGGAAGAUGUAACGGGGCUAAACCAUGCACCGAAGCUGCGGCAGCGACGCUGAUGCGUUGUUGGGUAGGGGAGCGUUCUGUAAGCCUGCGAAGGUGUGCUGUGAGGCAUGCUGGAGGUAUCAGAAGUGCGAAUGCUGACAUAAGUAACGAUAAAGCGGGUGAAAAGCCCGCUCGCCGGAAGACCAAGGGUUCCUGUCCAACGUUAAUCGGGGCAGGGUGAGUCGACCCCUAAGGCGAGGCCGAAAGGCGUAGUCGAUGGGAAACAGGUUAAUAUUCCUGUACUUGGUGUUACUGCG
rnacentral:rRNA from 1 species